UACCACCCCCGUCUGCUUCAGAAAGCGGCUUCACACACACUCCCAAAGCUUCAGGCUUUACGCAUUAUUACGUCUUUUAUCACUGUAAGGAGGAAGUUAUGGAAGGAGUGAUGGUUAAGGAGGAAACGGUGACAUGUGCUUUGGGAUCAUCGUCCUCUUCUUCGGCUUCCAGCUUCUCGCCUCAGCCAAUGGAGGGGCUGCACGAUGUGGGUCCGCCUCCGUUUCUGACCAAGACCUUUGAAAUGGUGGAGGACCCUUCGACGGACUCGAUUGUAUCGUGGAGCAGAGCUCGCAACAGCUUCGUCGUUUGGGACUCCGGCAAGUUCUCCACCAGCCUUCUUCCUCGGUACUUUAAGCACAGUAACUUCUCCAGCUUCAUUCGCCAACUCAAUACAUAUGGUUUCAGAAAGGUUGAUCCUGAUCGAUGGGAAUUCGCAAAUGAAGGGUUUCUAGGAGGGCAAAAGCAUUUAUUGAAGACCAUCAAGCGGAGAAGACAUGUCAGCCAAGGUCUACAACAACAAGGAGAAGGGGGAGGAGGAGCUUGUGUUGAAUUGGGAGAAUAUGGCUUGGAAGGCGAUCUUGAAAGAUUAAAGAGAGAUAGAAGCUUGUUAAUGGCGGAGAUUCUGAAGUUGAGACAGGAGCAACAGAAUUCGAGGGAUGAAAUCAUUUCCAUGGAGGAUAGGUUACAAGCCACUGAGAGGAAACAACAACAGAUGAUGACUUUUCUUGCUAAAGCACUCAGCAACCCGACCUUUAUCCAGCAAUUUGCUCAGAGAAGAGAAUUGCUAGGUGUUGAAAUAGGACGAAAGCGGAGGCUGACUGCACGUCCCAGUGCGGAGGAUUUGCAAGAAGAAGUGUUGUCUGUGACGGCAGGCAGUGGUCUGGAUGUGGGCCUCACAAGCCAAGAACAUGAAGAAUUGUCAACAAUGGAGUCAGAAAUAGAGACGUUUCUCUCAUCUUCCUGGGACAAUGAAUCGAGCAGUGAUAUCAAGGACCCAAUUGCAAGUUCGAUUCCCACAAGAAGUGGCGGCAAUUUGGAUUUUGUUAACGAGACAAUAUGGGAGGAGCUACUGAAUGACGAUUUAAUUGCUGGAAAUGCAGAGGAAGAAGCUGUGGUGGAUUAUCAAUCAGAAAUCGAUGCAGAAAUAUUAGAGGAUUUGGUUGCACAACCAGCCAACUGGGGUGAGGAUUUGCAAGAUCUUGUGGAUCAAAUGGGUGAUCUCAGGUCGAAGACACGACCAAACUCAUAAAUGAUAUAUUGAUUGAUGUUGUGGUGUUUUGUUUGUUGGGUUGGUCUCUGAAACUCCAUUCCUAUAUCUCAUUUAGCAGGGAUGGUGAGAGUUGCUAAGAGGCCAACACAUCCAGCUCUCCUGUAUCCUUUACUAAGUUUUCCAAGUAUUGUUAAACUCUUCUACUGCACUUGAAUCAGUUCACAAAUUUGUGAUUUGUUGUUUCUGUUUAUGCAUUUUGCAGGCGGACUGGCCAUUGGAAAUUUCCAAGGAGGGGUUUCAUUUACUGAUUCUCAUCUCGAAGAUUUAGUUACAGUCUGCAGCUUAUAUUUGAAGGAUUUGAUCCAUUAUUCCAAACUUUAGUAGUUUACAGUUCUGAUUCGUUUGAUAUCUAUGCGUGGCAGACCAAAGAUUUCACAUUGCAGUCAAAGCGUGCUUGCGGACCGGCACAUCAGAAUUAGAAUCGGCUGGCUCAGAUGAGUGGCUCACUUCCAUGAGAAGGGAGAAUGACCUUUGAAUAAGCAAGCUAAUAACAGAGUUUCAUAGAUAACGGAGAUGUAGAUAUCAGCUACUAUGUAUAUAAAGAACUAAGAACUUCUGGUUUAAGUUCGUAAUAUUGCUUUUAUAAUCA